UGCCGCGUGAAGGAAGACAGCCUUAUGGGUUGUAAACUUCUUUACUAUGCGAAUAGAGAUUAGUACGAGCUACUAAUAGGAAGGUAGCAUAGCAAAAAGCACCGGCUAACUCCGUG
rnacentral:rRNA from 1 species